UCCGGAAUCGAGUCAAGGGAUUCCAGGGUUCAUAUAAAAGGUAGAGAAUCAGGGUGAAUCAACUUUUAUUGGGUUUUUCUCUCACUUUACCCUCAUUCGCUGAAAGCCGAUCGACGCUCUCCGGUGAAAGCAAAAAUGCGAGGUGAGAUUUCCUUCUUCUUCUUCUUCUUCUUCUUCGUCUUCGUCUUCGUCUUCUUCUUCUUCUCAGUUGUGUUUUCUUUUGUUACACAUUUACCCCUUUGCAUGGAAGACGAUCCCAGCCAAUAGCCAUCUGAAAACCAAUGAUGUAUUCAAGGGUUUGCCUCUUAGGUUUCUAUUUCACUGUGUAAGGUUUACACAUUUGGCUUAGAUGAUCGGUUGCCAAGGGUAGUGCAAAAUCCAUCUGAAGUCAGCAGUAUGGAAUCUAUGCUCUCGAUUUGCCCUAUUCCUCUGAGACGGAAAUUUUGCCAUUGAAGUGUCCAACCAAUUCCCUCCAAAACAAAAGGAAGAUUCAAGACUCUACAAGACCAGUAACUAAUGGAGAAUUCAGCUUCUAUAUGAAUCUUAUACAUUUUCUACUAUUGGGUUAGAUGUUCUCAAGGUGGGUUUGUUGGUUUGGUUGACAUAAUUGUGGUGAGUUGCUCUUCUUCUAAGGAUUUAUGACGUAGACAACGAGGGCAUCAUUUCACAUGAUAGGGAAAAUGUAUCUUACUACUUUGAGUAUAAUGGUUUCACCAUUUUUGUAAUGUUUUCAAUUUCUUUUGCUAAGGCUUCGAGAAUUGAGUACGGAGAACAAUAUUUUGAAAUGAUCCACAAUCAUUUGCCUUUUUGUCAAGACUUGUUUAGUCAUCUCAAUAAUUUCCUCUUUUCUCAA